rnacentral:rRNA from 1 species
AGUGAACGCUGGCGGUAGGCCUAACACAUGCAAGUCGAACGGCAGCACAGUAAGAGCUUGCUCUUACGGGUGGCGAGUGGCGGACGGGUGAGGAAUACAUCGGAAUCUACUUUUUCGUGGGGGAUAACGUAGGGAAACUUACGCUAAUACCGCAUACGACCUACGGGUGAAAGCAGGGGAUCUUCGGACCUUGCGCGAUUGAAUGAGCCGAUGUCGGAUUAGCUAGUUGGCGGGGUAAAGGCCCACCAAGGCGACGAUCCAUAGCUGGUCUGAGAGGAUGAUCAGCCACACUGGAACUGAGACACGGUCCAGACUCCUACGGGAGGCAGCAGUGGGGAAUAUUGGACAAUGGGCGCAAGCCUGAUCCAGCCAUACCGCGUGAGUGAAGAAGGCCUUCGGGUUGUAAAGCCCUUUUGUUGGGAAAGAAAAGCAGCAGGUUAAUACCCCGCUGUUCUGACGGUACCCAAAGAAUAAGCACCGGCUAACUUCGUG